AAACUCCUUUUCAAUUCAUCACAGAAAAUAAUGUCUACCUACAAUGGGUGAGCUUGUCUUGCCUGCUAUCUAUUGGCAUACUUCCGGAUACCUUUAACUGGGUGUCAGGAGUGUAUGACAUCUUUACUUUGAACAAAUUUAAGUGCUCAAGACAGGCCUUUGUGCCUAGAAAUUCUUACAUGGAAUAAUGAAAUAGGACUUCGGUUCUAUUUUGUUGGUUUUCGGAUCCGAACUAAUGGUUAAGAGGGACAGACGGGGGCAUUUGUAUAGCGGUGUUAGAGGUGAAAUUCUGGGAUCAUCGUCAGACAAACUACAGCGAAAUCAAUUGUCAAGAAUGUUUUCAUUGAUUAGGAGCGAAAGUCAGAGUUUCGAAGACGAUUAGAUACCGUUGUAGUUCUGACCAUAAACGAUGCCAAAUAACGAUCUGCAAUGGUUCUACAUAAUUGACAGUGCCGGGC
rnacentral:ncRNA from 1 species